rnacentral:rRNA from 1 species
CCCGCACAAGCGGAGGAACAUGUGGUUUAAUUCGAUGAUACGCGAGGAACCUUACCUGGGCUAGAACGCAUUCGGAAUCAGGCCGAAAGGCCUGCGCCAGCGAUGGCCGCUUGCGAGGUGCUGCAUGGUUGUCGUCAGCUCGUGCCGUGAGGUGUCGGGUUAAGUCCCAUAACGAGCGCAACCCCUACUGCUAGUUGCCAGCGGGUCAUGCCGGGGACUCUAGCGGAACUGCCAGCGUAAGCUGCGAGGAAGGUGGGGAUGACGUCAAGUCAUCAUGGCCCUUACGGCCUGGGCUACACACGUGCUACAAUGGUCGGUACAAAGGGUUGCCAAGCCGCGAGGUGGAGCUAAUCCCAUAAAACCGAUCGUAGUCCGGAUCGCAGUCUGCAACUCGACUGCGUGAAGUCGGAAUCGCUAGUAAUCGUGAAUCAGAAUGUCACGGUGAAUACGUUCCCGGGCCUU